UUAUGCAUACUUGCAGACUCAUUAAGCACGUUUUUCUUGGAAUACAUUAUUUUGUUGAAAUCUGCAUCAUGUUUUCUUUUUCGACAAUGGCUGUGUAUGCCUGUUUAAUGUUGUACAUUAUUGGCUGUCCGAAUCAUUUGUAUUUCAUGUCGGCAUCCGGCGGCGUGGAGGCCCGGGAGUUAUCGUUUAAUAAGACGAAACUGCCUGGGCCCAUCCCAAAGAUCAAUGCAACAGUCUCGAAGGAUCCUCCACUGCCAGCUGCUCGAGAUAAAUUAUUGGAGAGGAAAAAGCGGCAAUUUUUCCCAACAGGAGUCAGAUCUCCCUGGGGUGUAGGGAGAGAGGUUCAGGGAUUUCUAUGGGGUUACAUAUUAAGCCAGCUUUUGCAGACGUCAUCAUCUUCAUCUUCGUCCAGUGGAUAACGGAUAUCUUUAUGGAUAUACAACAGUGCUCUGUAGUACAAUAUAAAUAACAUCCAUAUUCGC